rnacentral:tRNA from 1 species
GGCCGCGUGGCCUAAUGGUUAGGGCGUCGGAUUUCGGUUCUCCUUGAAAGCAAGGGUGUAUACCUCCGAAGGAUGUGCGUUCGAAUCGCAUCGUGGUCG